GAGGUUCAGCAGUCUAGGAAAGUGAUGAUGGUGUCCAUCCUUCCUGUUGUUCCCAUGAUUUCACUUCAGUUGUCCUAGGAAAAAAUGGUGUCCUGUAGAGAGAAAUGCUGUCUUCUGGGACCACGGCCCUGAGCUUGGGGGCCCUGUCAGCAUCCAGGUUCCCGGGAGGAAAUCCUGACUAACCAGAGACACGAUCAGGGGACGUGUCUGCUAUCUGGUCCAGGAGAGAACGUAUGAGGUAUGUACCCUGUGAGUGCUGAUUGAUUGGCACGUGCCCAGGGAACUCACAUGGCACUGUGC